UACGGGGGGGGCAAGCGUUGUUCGGAAUUACUGGGCGUAAAGGGCUCGUAGGUGGCCAACUAAGUCAGACGUGAAAUCCCUCGGCUUAACCGGGGAACUGCGUCUGAUACUGGAUGGCUUGAGUUCGGGAGAGGGAUGCGGAAUUCCAGGUGUAGCGGUGAAAUGCGCAGAUAUCAGGAGGAACACCGAUGGCGAAGGCAGCACUCUGGGACGGUACUGACGCUGAGACGCGAAAGCGUGGGGAGCAAACAGG
rnacentral:rRNA from 1 species